GGCGCAACGAUCUGGGCACUGUCUCAACGAGAGACUCGGUGAAAUUAUAGUACCUGUGAAGAUGCAGGUUACCCGCGACAGGACGGAAAGACCCCGUGGAGCUUUACUGCAACCUGAUAUGGAAUGUUUGUACCGCUUGUACAGGAUAGGUAGGAGCCGAAGAGACGUGUGCGCUAGCAUACGAGGAGGCAAUGGUGGGAUACUACCCUGGCUGUAUGACCAUUCUAACCCGCCACGCUUAGCGCGUGGGGAGACAGUGUCAGGUGGGCAGUUUGACUGGGGCGGUCGCCUCCUAAAGAGUAACGGAGGCGCCCAAAGGUUCCCUCAGAAUGGAUGGAAAUCAUUCGCAGAGUGUAAAGGCACAAGGGAGCUUGACUGCGAGACUGACAAGUCGAGCAGGGACGAAAGUCGGGCUUAGUGAUCCGGUGGUUCCGCAUGGAAGGGCCAUCGCUCAACGGAUAAAAGCUACCCCGGGGAUAACAGGCUUAUCUCCCCCAAGAGUCCACAUCGACGGGGAGGUUUGGCACCUCGAUGUCGGCUCGUCGCAUCCUGGGGCUGUAGUCGGUCCCAAGGGUUGGGCUGUUCGCCCAUUAAAGCGGCACGCGAGCUGGGUUCAGAACGUCGUGAGACAGUUCGGUCCCUAUCCGUCGCGGGCGCAGGAAAUUUGAGAGGAGCUGUCCUUAGUACGAGAGGACCGGGAUGGACACACCGCUGGUGUACCAGUUGUUCCGCCAGGAGCAUCGCUGGGUAGCUAUGUGUGGCAGGGAUAAACGCUGAAAGCAUCUAAGCGUGAAGCCCCCCUCAAGAUGAGAUUUCCCAUUUCUUCGGAAAGUAAGAUCCCUGAAAGAUGAUCAGGUAGAUAGGUUUGGAGUGGAAGUGUAGCGAUACAUGGAGCGGACAAAUACUAAUCGAUCGAGGACUUAACCAA
rnacentral:rRNA from 1 species